AUUGAACGCUGGCGGCAGGCCUAACACAUGCAAGUCGAACGAGUGGCGGACGGGUGAGUAAUGUCUGGGAAACUGCCUGUUGGAGGGGGAUAACUACUGGAAACGGUAGCUAAUACCGCAUACCAUCGGAUGUGCCCAGAUGGGAUUCGCUAGUAGGUGGGGUAAAGUCUCACCUGGGCGACGAUCCCUAGCUGGUCUGAGAGGAUGACCAGCCACACUGGAACUGAGACACGGACCAGACCCCUGCGUGAGGCAGCAGGGGGAAAUAUUGGACAGUGGGCGCAAGCCUGAUCCAGCCAUACCGCGUGGGUGACGAAGGCCGUCGGGUUGUAAAGCCCUUUUGUUGGGAAAGCGGUACCCAAAGAAUAAGCACCGGCUAACUUCGUGCCAGCAGCCGCGGUAAUUC
rnacentral:rRNA from 1 species